rnacentral:lncRNA from 1 species
AAACAAACAAGUAUCAAAGUUGUUACCAAUCACCUCAAUAAAAACAAAUCCUUACAUAUAAGCAUCACCAACUAAGCUAAGGAUUCACAAUGAAAAAUUACAACUGGGUUUGGGUUUGCCCUGCCUUCUUUUAACAUCUCUAUGAGCAUCAUGUCCAGUCCCAGCCAGAAGAUCUAUAAAUAGUUCCUGAACCCAAAGUCUGAAGGUUAUGGGAUGGAGAAAGCCUCUACUUCUCCCUGUCUAGUCAUUCAAGCAGCUAUGCUCUAGGGGUACCUGCUAAAGCAGGCUCUGCAGACAAGGCAAGACUUAAUUGACAGAAGCAUUAUUAUGGGCUGAUUAAGGAUUUAUAAUUAACACCUGUGUUAUUAUUUAAACUACUUCUGUGGCAUCGAAGUGUUGGACCUAAUGAGGUGGAACAAUUCACUGCACCCAAGGCAUCUAGGUUGGGAAGAUAUUUUACAGCUGGGAAGAGAGAUGUGCUUUCAGAGGGGGAAGAACACUGGUGCAUUCAUAUGCAUAACUGACAUCUCAUCAAGUAAUGAUCCACAGCCUGAAAAAAAAAAACCUGAAAAUAAAGACUGUGUUUACUGAUAAUAGAUUCAUUAGGAUCUCUAUCCUGCUGCCAACAGGCACAGGAAAAAGUUUUUUGGCUACAUAUUCUGGCUACUCCUAGUGUUGAUGGAAGAACUGAAACAUCUUUCAAGACCAUCCAAGUGAAAGGAGAUCUUUGUUCUGUGUUCCAGUGGGACUGAAAACACACAUUUUGAAACUCAAAGGUGUAUGCUCUAGGAAGACUUAGAUGAUGUUUGUUAACAGAGGAGGUUCCAACAGGGGAAGUUAGACUAAAUGCGUUGCUGUCAAAUUUAUGAUGAGUUCUAGAGACCCAGACACUUAGAGGUUCCAAAAAAUCCCAAAGUAAUGCAGAAUAUGAAGGAAAAUUAUUUUAGAUGUACUUUACAAAAGCAGAUUCAUUGACUGCAUAAUUUUGUUUGAAUAAAAUAUUCAAAUUGAAGUUUAAACUUAGCUUA